GAUGAACGCUGGCGGCGUGCUUAACACAUGCAAGUCGAACGGUGAACGAGGGAGCUUGCUCCCUCCGGAUCAGUGGCGAACGGGUGAGUAACACGUGAGCAAUCUGCCCUGGACUCUGGGAUAAGCGUUGGAAACGACGUCUAAUACCGGAUACGAGGCGUGGGGGCAUCCCCAACGCCUGGAAAGAACUUCGGUCCAGGAUGAGCUCGCGGCCUAUCAGGUAGUUGGUGAGGUAACGGCUCACCAAGCCUACGACGGGUAGCCGGCCUGAGAGGGUGACCGGCCACACUGGGACUGAGACACGGCCCAGACUCCUACGGGAGGCAGCAGUGGGGAAUAUUGCACAAUGGGCGCAAGCCUGAUGCAGCAACGCCGCGUGAGGGACGACGGCCUUCGGGUUGUAAACCUCUUUUAGCAGGGAAGAAGCGAAAGUGACGGUACCUGCAGAAAAAGCACCGGCUAACUACGUGCCAGCCGCCGCGGUAA
rnacentral:rRNA from 1 species